GAUGAACGCUGGCGGCGUGCCUAAUACAUGCAAGUCGAGCGAACAGACGAUGAUCUUGCUCCGCUGACGUUAGCCGCGGACGUGUGAGUCACACGUGUAUCACCUACCUAUAAUACUGGUAUAACUUCGGGACACCGGAUCUAAUACCGUAUAAUAUACUGAACCGUAUGGUGCAAUAGUGAAAGACGGUUUUUCUGUCACGUCUAGCUGCAUCCGCGCCGCAUUAGCUAGUUGGUACGGUAACGGGUUAUCAAGGCAACGAUGCGUAGCCGAGGUGAGAGGGGGAUAGGCCACACUGGAGCUGAGACGCGGUCCAGAGUACUGAGAGAGGCAGCAGUCGGGAACCUUAGGCAGUGGGCGAGAGCAUGACGGAGCAAGGGGGAGUGAGAGAUGACGGUCUUCGGAUCGUAAAGCUCUGUUACUAGGGAAGAACAAAUGUGGCAGUAACUAUGGACGUAGUGACGGUAACUAGUAAGAAAGCAACGGCUAACUACGUG
rnacentral:rRNA from 1 species